rnacentral:piRNA from 1 species
UUCAAAAUGAGAUUUGGGUGGGGACAUAGU